UGCGAUUUGGGAAGUUGCCAUCCUCUGUGGUUGGUACUGGCCCAAUUGGCUGCUACAGAAACACCUGUAGUUCAUGGGCCUCCGGUCUCCCUGGCUGAGCUCUGGGGAUGAAAGCAUUCUGCAGACACUU